rnacentral:rRNA from 1 species
GUCUCGUUGGUGACAGCGGAGGGAUCAUU